GUCUGUGUGCGGAGAGCCGGGUCUGUGUGUGCGGAGAGCUGGGUCUGUGUGUGCGGAGAGCUGGGUCUGUGUGUGCGGAGAGCCGGGUCUGUGUGUGCGGAGAGCCGGGUCUGUGUGUGCGGAGAGCUGGCGCUGCUCCUGGCUUACACCAAAUACAGGCCAAACAUAUUAGGCCACCUGUAGGUUUUUAUUUACAUAUAUAACAAUUCAGUGUCUAAAUAAGUUCACUUGUAUUGAAUAGCAGACCUACAAAACUAAGCUUAACUCCUUCUUUGCCAUAUUUCUUGCAGCUUUAGUGUCUAUUUUACUUCUUCUACAGAUCAAAGGUAUUAGGUUACCUGUGGUUUUAAAAAACUUAAGUUAGAUAAGAUUUUUGUCAGUUUAACUACCCUUGACCUCCUGCCCACCCCUCCACCACCAAUUUUGCAAAAUGAAGGAGGCUAUUUUGAGGAAUGUUGUAUGUUGUUCUGCUAUUCAGUAAAUGCAUUUAAAUUAA